rnacentral:rRNA from 1 species
GAUGAACGCUGGCGGCGUGCUUAACACAUGCAAGUCGAACGAACGACUAUUAACAGAACCUUUCGGGGCGAAGAAUAUAGAAGUUAGUGGCGGACGGGUGCGUAACGCGUGGGUAAUCUGCCUUUGUCAAAGGAAUAACUAUUCGAAAGAAUAGCUAAAACCGUAUAACAUAUUAAUAGGGCAUCCUAGUAAUAUCAAAACGAUAGUGGACAAAGAUGAGCCCGCGUCUGAUUAGCUAGUUGGUGAGAUAAAAGCCCACCAAGGCAACGAUCAGUAGCCGACCUGAGAGGGUGAACGGCCACAUUGGAACUGAGACACGGUCCAAACUCCUACGGGAGGCAGCAGUGGGGAAUAUUGCACAAUGGGGGGAACCCUGAUGCAGCAACGCCGCGUGAGUGAAGAAGGCAUUCGUGUCGUAAAACUCUGUAGUAGGGGAAGAAAGAAAUGACAGUACCCUAAAAGAAAGCCCCGGCUAACUACGUGCCAGCAGCCGCGGUAAUACGUAGGGGGCAAGCGUUAUCCGGAAUAACUGGGCGUAAAGGGUGCGCAGGUGGUUUAACAAGUUAGUGGUGAAAGGCAUAGGCUCAACCAAUGUAAGCCAUUAAAACUGUUUAACUUGAGUGCAGGAGAGGAAAGUGGAAUUCCUAGUGUAGCGGUGAAAUGCGUAGAUAUUAGGAGGAAUACCAGUGGCGAAGGCGACUUUCUGGACUGCAACUGACACUGAGGCACGAAAGCGUGGGGAGUAAACAGG